AGCAUAUCAAUAAGCGGAGGAAAAGAAACCAACAGGGAUUGCCUCAGUAACGGCGAGUGAAGCGGCAAAAGCUCAAAUUUGAAAUCUGGCUCUUUCAGGGUCCGAGUUGUAAUUUGUAGAAGAUGCUUCGGGUGUGGUUCCGGUCUAAGUUCCUUGGAACAGGACGUCAUAGAGGGUGAGAAUCCCGUAUGUGGCUGGGUACCUACGCUCAUGUGAAGCUCUUUCGACGAGUCGAGUUGUUUGGGAAUGCAGCUCAAAAUGGGUGGUAUAUUUCAUCUAAAGCUAAAUAUUGGCCAGAGACCGAUAGCGCACAAGUAGAGUGAUCGAAAGAUGAAAAGCACUUUGGAAAGAGAGUUAAACAGUACGUGAAAUUGUUGAAAGGGAAGCGCUUGCAAUCAGACUUGCACCUGGUGUUCAGCGGGGCUUCGUGCCCCGUGUACUUCAUCAGGUUCAGGCCAGCAUCGGUUUGGGUGGUUGGAUAAAGGCCUUGAGAAUGUGACCCUCUUCGGGGGGUGUUAUAGCUCUCGGUGCAAUGCAGCCUACCUGGACCGAGGACCGCGCUUCGGCUAGGAUGCUGGCGUAAUGGUUGUAAGCGACCCGU
rnacentral:rRNA from 1 species